CUUAUCUAUAAAAGAAGCAAGAUUAGAGUAUUUAUAAAGUGUUGUCUAACUCUAAAUCCUAUAAUCCUAUAGACUAUGGAGCCUGAACUAAAGUAAUUGUCACUUCUAGGUCAACUGGCAUUGGUUAAGUAUAGGUUGCCAGCUGCAACACUUACAGAGAAGCAGCUAUGUAGAGAAAUCAACAGCAAAGAGCAGAGCAGCAAACAAGGCAUGACUGAGGCAGAGAGGCAAAACCAGUGGCAUACUAGGUUGUGACAUCAAGAAAAUGGAGACAGCAACAAAAACUGAGAUACAGGAUGGAUCAUUUGUACUGGAAGAAAAUGAAAGAGCUAGAACAAUGGCAAAAUAUGGAGAAGUAUGUCUGCUUUCUGAGUGGCCUGAUAGUUUGGCCCCUUGGACCUCCCCUGCCAGAGCCCAUUGGUGGAUAUUUUGAAAAAGGAUGUGGAUUUAAAGACUACAAAUCCUCCCUCAUUACUUCAUCAAAGAGAGCACUCUGGAAAAGAGGCAGCCAGAAGAUUUUCUGCAACUAG
rnacentral:lncRNA from 1 species